rnacentral:rRNA from 1 species
UACAGAGGUCUCAAGCGUUGUCCGGAAUUAUUGGGCGUAAAGAGCUCGUAGGCGGUCUGUCGCGUCUGCUGUGAAAACUCAGGGCUUAACCCUGAGCUUGCAGUGGGUACGGGCAGACUAGAGUGCGGUAGGGGAGACUGGAAUUCCUGGUGUAGCGGUGAAAUGCGCAGAUAUCAGGAGGAACACCGGUGGCGAAGGCGGGUCUCUGGGCCGUAACUGACGCUGAGGAGCGAAAGCAUGGGGAGCGAACAGG